ensembl:lncRNA
UUAAAAGAAAUAUCCUGGUUUGUCAUUUCAAACCCAGUUUGUCAAAAUCUGUAUUUGGCAGUGUAAAAUAUGUUAUUUUACAAAGGACACAUGCAAGAGGUUUUUGUUCUGACACGUUUCACAGUGUGAAUCCGCUAACGUUUGGAAAAGCCAUCAGACUCACAGUAAAUUCAAACAAAAGUCCUGUCCGCCCAACACUGUCCAUCCUCACCCCAGGUGGGACUGAGGGUGGCAGUCCUGAGGUGUGCCUGGCAGCAGGCUUCUUACCCAAGGAUGAAGUCAUGAAUCUGACCCAUGUGAAAAAGGGUCCUUUGAGCCACAGGACAAUCACUGCAGCUUUGUCAAGUAGUAAUACCUUCUACUAUGCGGGAUACUCCGAAGACCGUAUAGAGAACUGUGAGAUGAUGAACGUUAAGGCUGAGAGAACGAAGAGUACCAGUGAUGAUGAUGGAACAAAGAGUACCAGUGAUAAUGACCCUACCAAAGGUAGUGACAUAGCUGUUCCUACUUCGGUCGUUUGCAAAGAUGAGGAACCCCCCUCUGAUCAAACUGAUACCAACUAUCCCAAUUACACAAAGGUGAACUUCACAUCACUAGUUGUGUAUGGUUUAAGAGUUCUGUUUGCCAAAGCCGUGGCAUUCAAUGUGUUAUUUACUGUCAAGGCCCUUGUGUUCUAGACCUAUUUGGACUGCACAUAAUCAGUUCUAAUUUCCUUCCACGUUUGGUUUGUCAAUAGCUUUUUUCCAAAAUAUAAUUAUUUAGUGAUUUUCUCUGUGUUGAAUGCUGUAAUGCUCCCUGCUUGCAAUUUGGAAAUACUAGAGACACGUACUGAAAAAAAUUUAUUGUGAAUAUUUCUAUUUACUUUUAUUAUUAUUGUAUUAUUUGUAUUUUAAGUACAUGAAUGCUUUGCAGUUUGUUUUGAAAUGUACAAAGCCUGCCACUAGAGAACCCUAACCACGUUUUCACCAGUACAUUGAAACAGUCAAACCAUAUUAACAGAUUAAGAUCUUUCAGACACCUUGACUUCCAAGAAAUGGCUCCAACUGUUACUUUAUUCGCAUGCGUGCUUGAGCAGUAAGAAGCAUGCAUUAGUGACAAACACAUAGAAUGGAAAUCAACAGUCUACACGUCCUUAUUGAAAAUGCAGCUGGUUUUUAAUUAAUGCUGUAAUCAAAACAAAUAAUGUCAUACUUUUUAGCCAACAACAUUUAAGUGAAUAACAUUUUAAUUUAACAUCAACCCAACCAACCUGCAUUUUAAAUUGUGCCCAGUAGUCAUGUUGAAAAGUAAUAUAAUUCUCUAACUUUCUGGCAUAGGGCAGAAGGGUUUGUGCCAAAAUCUUCUUUUAAAUGAUAUCUGGAACGAUCCUGACCAGAGACCUUGCCUGACAUUAGGUGCUGUGUACUCUGUGUCAUGAGCCGUGUUGGCUUUAUGAAACAUAUCUUUUGGAAUUUAAGGUAAAAACUUUCUACCGUCCAAUAAUCAGUUUUGAGAGAUCAAUGUGUCCUCUUGCAAAAUGUAAAAGGAUUGGGUGUUCUUUUUUAUGGCUUUUGUCUUGCAAUUGGUUGUAACAUGCAGGGCAAGUUCAGUUCCUGCCGUAAAUCCCUGCUGCUCAUUUAAGGUUGCCAUGGGCCAUAUAGUACACUCCCUGAUGAGCUUUCUCUUUGCCCUGAAAUAUAAUUUGGUGGGACCUGCCUGUCAUCCUGCCUCCACUUCUUAAUGGCGGUCUUCACAGUUUUCCAUUAUAGAGAGUGUAAUGUCCUCAUCAUUUUUUGAUAUUCCUUUCCUGAUGUGUACCUUGUUAUGGUGCAUCUGUCUUACACUGAGCUCUACUGGUUGGACUUAUCAUUUCAAUCACAACUUUCAACAAUAAGACCUCUAGGACUUUUGUUAGCUCCUUGUGGACCAUGGCUAUCUCUGAAGUAUACUAGCAACAAACCUUGAAGUUUUAAAGCAAACCAACUGGAACAGCUUCUUUUAUUUUUGGCAAGUCAGAAUCGCUUUAAUUCAUUACCGUUGUCCAUUUCCAUAAACAACCGCUGCAUUGUCAGUAAAGAUGUGUAUACCUUUGAUAUCCACUGUACCAUAUAAUUGUUGAUCUGUGGCAAUAUUAAAAUACUGCAAUAUCAUACGCGCCAGACCUCAGCCCAACAUUUUAUAAUCACAUGGGAUUUGUAAAUGUAGGCUAUGGAAAUAUAUACUGUAUGUUUUUUAUUAUUGUAAAGCAUGAUACAUUUUGAUAAGGUGAAUGUCUAUUGACUGAUGUUAGUGGAAAAUAGGAUGGAAACCAGUCACGCUACCGUUUUUCAGAAACAUUCGCUUAGGUCUAAUUAUGACUGAUAUAGUAGAGAGCAGUGCACCCACCUUCCUAAACGAUCUGCAGCACACAACACUCAUUUUGAUUGGGAUUAUUGGUGAUAAGUCUGACACAGUGUGAGGUACAUUUAUACAAGGUGAUUUUUAUUAUUGGAGGAGCUCUGCAAUUUCAUCAUGUGACUAGAGUGCACCUUUAAAAUAUGGGAUGAUGUUGCCCCCUGCUGGUUGUAAAAUAAUGUUCUCUGUUGAUGUGACUUCUAGUUCACCUGACAUUUGCUUCGCUGUGUCUGUCUAAAUUGUAUUUACUUUAUUCCUCAUAUCCUCUCUCCUCGUCUCCUUCUGGUUACCUUUCCUUUCAUCUCCUUGAAUGUGUUAUGAGGUGUCAAGGAAAGACAACAUUUGGGAAAUAGUACUCUGUUUCACUUGUCUUCUGUAUGAUCAUUUGAACCAUUAUAAUAUGGGUUGCUUGUGACAAUGGCCGUCUUUUUUAAAUAAAUAAAAAUGUUAUUGAAUGUUAUUCACUUGAAAUUUACUUUGGCACAUUUUGGUAUGAAGGCACAUAUAGUACACAUCUUGGGAUGGGCCCUAGUUAAUAAUAGUGCUUUAUGUGUAAAAUGGUUCCCACAUGUUAUGAAGUAAACAUUAACAAUGCAUUGCACCUCAUAUCCCAUGAGACUAAGGGAUGCAUCCUAAUGUAGGUCACAGGUGAAGGUUUAGAUUGGUGUUCUCUAAUUUUCUCUUCAAUGUAGGCCAAUGGGUCAUAUGUAUGUAAGUUAUAUAUCUGCUAUGUGGUUUACUUCCUGCUAGACAAAGAAAUAUGAUAAAGUGUAGAUGAGUCCUCAAAGAAGAAGCAUGUUUGUAUUCACAAAAAAAUACAUGAGGACUAAACAAGGUACCUAACUUUUUUACAGCAAUCUAAAGAGCAUUCAGCAUGCAUUGCACAUUCAGAUCAUUCUAUUUUACUGUAACAGUUCAGUGGUGCUAUGCGUACUUAUAUAAGGCUAUGUAUGAAUAAUUACAUAAUGGUUGUCUGGAGACACUGUAUUUUUCUGAGUGUUUGCAGUGUGUGCGCGUUUCUUUAAUGAAGGACUUCCAUUGGCAAGGUAAGACUGCAGAGUCAAACUUUCUCUCUUUAUGCAUUUAUGUUGGGCUUUGCAUUUCAAUUACAUGACAUUCAUUCACAUGUCGGGAGAUGGUAUGAAAUAAUAAAUGUUAUUUAAGCCCAAAUAGAAUCUUAAAACUUUUUGUAUUCAUGUAAAGUAUUUUGACCUCAAAUAUCUAAAUGUGGAUAUAAUAUUGGCCGAGAUUACUCAAUAUCUUGAAUAACGUCUCUGACUCUGAACAUGGGCUUUUUUGUUCACCCUCUAGUGAAGAAGAGGAUUAAUGUACAGGAGUGUUGCACUGUGGUUGUAUGGAUCUAACAAUAAGCUGAUGUUUGGAUCUGGAGUGAAACUCAUUGUGCAAUCCCGUAAGUAGGAUCUAUUGUUUUCAAUAUUGUUGACAUUUCCAUCUCUGUUAUUAUGCAGAAAAUUGUUGUCUUAAAAAAAAAAAAGGUGAUUCUCACUAAAUCUAAUAUCAGCAAUUCUGAACAAUGGUCUAUAUGUAAUACCGGAAUAUCAUCAGCUGUCCUAAAUACAAUAUUUAGAUUAGUUGUCCUUUAAAAUAUUGUUGUCCUUUAAAAUAUCUGAUUUGAAAAUGGUCCAUAGUCACUAGAGUAAUUGUCAUGGUGUGUAGGUCAGUGUGAAUGCUCAAGGGGGAAGACAGAUUU